rnacentral:lncRNA from 1 species
CCCACCUCCGUCGCUCCUCCACUCCAGUCUUUCUUGAAUUUCUCUCAAACCCAUCAAAAAUUUUCAAACUUGUUGAUGGGUUUGAUUGCAAAAGUCGACUUUAUGCCAUAGAACGAGGUUGAUUUGAAGCAUCUGAUGUUGGUAUUAGCAUAGAUCUUCAUGUCGAUAAAAAUUGAAGCCUUGGUGUAGGGAUGUUCUUUGGGUUAGUUAAACUGGUUUUAGAAAUUUCAAAGCAAACCUAAUAAGAUCACUAGCUGAGUGGAUUUAGUUUUGGCGGUUAUUGUAACUUUCUGCAAGCCCACAUCAUUUUUUCUCAAGAAGCUCGAGUUGAUGGAAACAUGCUUACAAGCUCUCUUAAAUGUCUUUUGCAAGUAUGGUGUAUUAUAGCCAUCAUGUGAAGAGUGGAAGGCACUAUAUCACAAAAGGUGAAAGAUGGAGGUGGUCGGUUGUUUCUUAAGGCCAUGGGAUCUUGUUCGCAAUUCAUGAAAACCUAAGGGAGUAUCCGGGCAAUUAACUCAUAAAUGUUCUUAUAACUAUAUAAAUCGUAAUUGAUUCUACGCGUUGUAAAAUUCUUUAUGUUUAUAUCUUAAUAUUGUUGGAUUUACCAUCCUCUUUAG